rnacentral:rRNA from 1 species
UACGGAGGGUGCAAGCGUUAUCCGGAUUCACUGGGUUUAAAGGGUGCGUAGGUGGGUUGGUAAGUCAGUGGUGAAAUCCCCGAGCUUAACUUGGGAACUGCCAUUGAUACUAUCAGUCUUGAAUACUGUGGAGGUCAGCGGAAUAUGUCAUGUAGCGGUGAAAUGCUUAGAUAUGACAUAGAACACCAAUUGCGAAGGCAGCUUACUACGGGGUUAUUGACACUGAGGCACGAAAGCGUGGGGAUCAAACAGG